AACCCUCGCCUCUAGUUGCCAGCAUUCGGUUGGGCACUCUAGAGGGACUGCCGGCGACGAAGUCGGAGGAAGGUGGGGAUGACAUCAAAUCAUCAUGCCCCUUAUGACCUGGGCUACACACGUGCUACAAUGGGCGGUACAGAGGGCUGCGAACCCGCGAGGGGGAGCGAAUCCCAAAAAGCCGCUCUCAGUUCGGAUUGCAGGCUGCAACUCGCCUGCAUGAAGCCGGAAUCGCUAGUAAUCGCGGAUCAGCAUGCCGCGGUGAAUACGUUCCCGGGCCUU
rnacentral:rRNA from 1 species